rnacentral:rRNA from 1 species
CGGCGAGUGAGCGGCAAGAGCUCAGAUUUGAAAUCUGGCCCCUCUGGGGUCCGAGUUGUAAUUUGCAGAGGAUGCUUCGGGUGCGGUCCCCGUCUAAGUGCCCUGGAACGGGCCGUCAUAGAGGGUGAGAAUCCCGUCUGGGAUGGGCGGCCGCGCCCGUGUGAAGCUCCUUCGACGAGUCGAGUUGUUUGGGAAUGCAGCUCUUAGCGGGUGGUAAAUUUCAUCUAAAGCUAAAUACUGGCCGGAGACCGAUGGCGCACAAGUAGAGUGAUCGAAAGAUGAAAAGCACUUUGAAAAGAGAGUUAAAUAGCACGUGAAAUUGUUGAAAGGGAAGCGUUGUCCACCAAACUCGCCCGGGGGGGCUCAGCCGGCACGUGUGCCGGUGUACUCCUCUCCGGGCGGGCCAGCAUCGGUUUGGGCGGCUGGUGAAAGGCCCCGGGAAUGUACCACCCUCCGGGGUGUCUUAUAGCCCGGGGUGCCAUGCAGCCNGCCUGGACCGAGGCCCGCGCUUCGGCNAGGAUGCUGGC